UAAAAAAUCGCAUGCGAGUUCUUUCAUUUGACACCUCAAUCGUCAAAUUGCUGCUAAUUCACUAACAACAAACAUUUCAAGGAGCAGCAAAAGCUACCGUAAUGUAGUAGGCAUGGAGAGAGUGCAUUACUCCUUCGCUAUGCUGCGAUGUGACUCACAGACUCCACCGCAUACAACAAACACAACAGCAUCAACGCUGUCGUGGCGAACUCUACACACUCGCUACAUAUUUUUGUUCGGAGUCAGUCAAUGGAAUUUUUCAAUCGCGAUCGGUCAUCGGUCAACUGCCACGUAAGUUCGUGUGUGCGGGAAAAAUAGUAAUAAACGCGUAAGAAAUUUCUAGUAAAAGUGCUUUUUAAAUUAUUUUGUUUAAUCUAAAAGCUUGAGUCAGAGUUGUGCAAAUUAAAUGAAAAAUUAAAAGUAAAAGUGAAAAGUUGUAAGUGCUCUAGUAAAAGCAAAAAAAAAGUGUGUAAAGUGAAAUAGUGUGCAAAGGUAAUUUUGUUUUCUGUAAUAUGUUCAUGUUUGUGUUUGUUAAUGAUGUUAAUAGCGAAGUGAGUGGAAAUCGCAUAUAGUAUGUCAUUCAUAAAAAGUGCUGCAGUGAAUUAGUGAAUUAAUUUCGUUUUAAAUAUAUUUCGUCAGAUGUUAAGUCAAGUGUUCGCUCGUUUACUGUUCGUCUAUAGUCGUUUCCAACUAACAACGUCGUUCGAAUAAACAAACAAAUAAUAUCAGUCCAGGAGAGUAAUAAAUUGUUUGCUCAAAGACUUAGAGACUAUCUGCAUAUGAAUAUGUGUGAGAAGUGCUUCAAUGUGUGUGGAAAGAAAACAAUUGUUUCGGCUAUAAACAAAAUAUAUAUCACAGCCAAUAAAGCACGAGAACACUUUUU